rnacentral:rRNA from 1 species
GAUCAACGCUGAAAGCAUCUAAGCGUGAAGCCCCCCUCAAGAUGAGAUUUCCCAUUUCUUCGGAAAGUAAGAUCCCUGAAAGAUGAUCAGGUAGAUAGGUUUGGAGUGGAAGUGUAGCGAUACAUGGAGCGGACAAAUACUAAUCGAUCGAGGACUUAACCAA